UCAAGAGUUUGAUCCUGGCUCCGAAUGAACGCUAGCAAGAAGCUUAACACAUGCAAGUUGAACGGUACCUGGUACCGUAGCGAACGGGUGCGUAACGCGUGAGAAUCUACCUUUAAGCUGGGGCAUAAGUUCUUAGAACGAAUACCCAAUAUAACGAAAGCCGCAAGUGCACUUAAAGAUGAGCUCGCGUAGGAUUAGGUAGUUGGCGGGGUAAAGGCCCACCAAGCCGAAGAUCCUUAGCUGAUUUGAGAGGAUGAUCAGCCACACUGGAACUGAGACACGGUCCAGACACUUUCGAGUGGCAGCAGUGAGGAAUAUUGGACAAUGGGCGCAAGCCUGAUCCAGCUAUCUUGCAUGAGGGAAGAAGGCGUUAUUUGUCGUAAACCUCUGCCUUAAACUGAUAAUGAUGAUGCAGGUUUAAGUAAAAGUCCCGGCUAACUCCGUGCCAGCAGCCGCGGUAAUACGGAGGGGGCGAGCGUUAUUCAAAAUGACUGGGCGUAAAGAGCAUGUAGGCGGAUUACUUUCCGUGUGUCCGGACCACCUUUGGUGUUCCCGUGGAUAGUGUGGGGUCUUCGGACCGUACACGAGUGAUAAAGUCCUACUGGAAGGUAGGUGCCUCACCAUAUGUGGUAAUCUCGAGUAAGUGAGAGGAUAAUGGAAUUCCUAAAGGAGAGGUGAAAUUCGUAGAUAUUAGGAGGAAGGCCGAAAGCGAAGGCAAUUAUCUGGCACUUGAUGGCAUAUCACUCCGCUUAAGCGGAGUUACUGACGCUGAGAUGCGAAGGCGUGGGGAUCAAAAAGGAUUAGAGACCCUAGUAGUCCACGCAGUCAACGAUGAAGAUUCACUUUUAGCUCCUGGGAUCGAUUUCACGGUUUUCUGUGGCAUCCUAGGAUGUAGAGGUCUAGCUAACGCGUUAAAUCUUCCGCCUGAGGAGUACGACCGCAAGGUUAAAACUCAAAGGAAUAGACGGGGGCUCAUACAAGUGGUGGAACAUGUGGUUUAAUUCGAAACAACGCGCAAAACCUUACCAGUCCUUGACAUGGC
rnacentral:rRNA from 1 species